UAAACUAUGGUGUAACUACACCCGCCAGAGAAUUACAACGCCUAGCUUGAAACUCAAAAGACUUGACAGUAUCUCACACACCCCUAGAGGAGCCUGUCCUAUAAUCGAUAACCCACGCUAAACCUUACCUGCCCUUGAACAAAUCAGCCUAUAUACCUCCGUCGCCAGUCCGCCUGUCAACAGUUAAUAAAGCGCGUACAAUAGCCCAUCGCUCACACGACAGGUCAAGGUGUAGCUAAUGGGCAUAGGCAGAGAUGGGCUACAUUUUCUCCACUAGAAAACACCUAAAAUGCAAUGAAAUGUGACUUGUAAGGUGGAUUUAGCAGUAAGCGAGGUCAGACAAGCCCCACUGAAGCCUUCCAUGAGAUGUGUACACACCGCCCGUC
rnacentral:rRNA from 1 species